rnacentral:rRNA from 1 species
AGAAUCAACGCUGGCGGCGUGCCUAACACAUGCAAGUCGAACGAGAAAGUGGAGCAAUCCAUGAGUAAAGUGGCGCACGGGUGAGUAACACGUGACUAACCUACCCUUGAGUGGGGAAUAACUUCGGGAAACCGAGGCUAAUACCGCAUAACACCUACGGGUCAAAGGAGCAAUUCGCUUAAGGAGGGGGUCGCGGCAGAUUAGUUAGUUGGCAGGGUAAUGGCCUACCAAGACGGUGAUCUGUAUCCGGCCUGAGAGGGCGCACGGACACACUGGAACUGAAACACGGUCCAGACUCCUACGGGAGGCAGCAGUGGGAAUUUUGCGCAAUGGGGGAAACCCUGACGCAGCAACGCCGCGUGGAGGAUGAAGUCCCUUGGGACGUAAACUCCUUUCGAUCGGGACGAUUAUGACGGUACCGGAAGAAGAAGCCCCGGCUAACUUCGCGCCAGCAGCCGC